rnacentral:rRNA from 1 species
CGUAGGCGGUGAGUACAGUCAGGCGUGAAAUUCCCCGGGCUCAACCCUGGGGGCUGCGCUUGAGACGUGCACACUUGAGUCCGGAAGAGGGUGGUGGAAUUCCCAGUGUAGAGGUGAAAUUCGUAGAUAUUGGGAAGAACACCGGUGGCGAAGGCGGCCACCUGGUCCGGUACUGACGCUGAGGCGCGAAAGCGUGGGGAGCAAACAGGAUUAGAUACCCUGGUAGUCCACGCCGUAAACGAUGUGCGCUGGAUGUUGGGCGGUCUGACCGUUCAGUGUCGUAGCCAACGCGGUAAGCGCACCGCCUGGGGAGUACGGCCGCAAGGUUGAA